rnacentral:rRNA from 1 species
AGCUCCAGUAGCGUAUAUUAAAGUUGUUGCAGUUAAAAAGCUCGUAGUUGGAUUUCUGGCAAGAUAGAGCCGAUCUGGUACAAUGUAUCGUGUGUUGGAUUCUAUCUGCCAUCCUUCCAGAAAACUUCAAUACCAUUCAUUUGGCCGUUGUUGCAAUCUGGAACUUUUACUUUGAAAAAAUUAGAGUGUUCAAAGCAGGCGUUACGCCAUGAAUACAUUAGCAUGGAAUAAUAAUUUAGGACUUCAGUUCUAUUUUGUUGGUUUCUAGGACAGAAGUAAUGAUUGAUAGGGAUAGUUGGGGGUGCUAGUAUUCAGCGGCCAGAGGUGAAAUUCUUGGAUUCGCUGAAGACUAACUGAUGCGAAAGCAUUCACCAAGGAUGUCUUCUUUAAUCAAGAACGA